GUGCCUUAAACUAAUGAGUAAGGAAAAUUACGGGCCUUGGUGACGCUUGGCUCAGCCUACGCACAACGGAGGGGCCUUCACGGGCACCUUCGGUAGGUGGAAUUUUUGCUAGAGGCACAGGUCGUCCCUUCGAGCUUGUCCUGCCUACUUUUGCAGGAUGCUUGGGAGAAUCGCGAUCUGCCUC